CAGGUCUAUUCUUGGAAGGAUUUUAUGAUAUUAUGCUUAAACGACCAAUUUUCAUAUUUAAUGAACAAGAACUUGAACUAUUGAUCAGUGGCUUGCCUACUGUAAAUAUCUUAAAGGAGGAUCUUAAAGCAAAUAUUGAGUAUCAUAAAUACACUGCUACGUUUUUAUAGAUUCAAUGGUUCUGCUGCAUUGCGAGGUUUUAAUCAAGCGGAUUGUUCGAAGUUCUUACAAUUCAUCACUGGUACAUCUAAAGUGCCGUUACAAGGUUUUGCGUUAUAAGGCAUGAACGGCAUACAAAAGUUCCAAAUUCACAGAGAAGACAAGUUGACAGACAGGCUUUUAUUUGCACAUAUUUGUUUCAAUCAACUGGAUUUGCCAGUGUACGAGACGUUUGAUAAACUCUGAACAAAUCUACUCAAGGCGACUUACGAAUGCACCAAAGAAUUUGGAUUUGCAUAAUCUUACCA
rnacentral:lncRNA from 13 species